rnacentral:rRNA from 1 species
CCCGGUGUCUACUGCGAUGGGGCAACACCCGUUCCCAUUCCGAACACGGAAGUUAAGCCCAUCAGCGCCGAUGGUAGUUGUCUCCUAGAGGGACGGCAAGAGUAGGUCGGCGCCGGGA